AAAGGAUUAGUUAACUUAUAUAACAUCAGAAUGUCAAACUGAAGUAAUCAACAAAGAUAUCCUUUU
rnacentral:tRNA from 1 species